GCACGCUCACCCGUACCCAAUGGGACGCCCAGAGAGGCGUGCGUGCGUACGACCUGCUGACACGUCCCACCGCUUCAUUUUCCGGUUGUGGAAACUGCGAGAGCGAGAUUCGGUGGCAGCAGUGGGACUGAAGGAGACUUCUGAUGGCUUCAGGGACAAUGAGAAACACAGGAGUGAUACCUUGUGAACCCCUUGAGUUCUCUUUCUUGCCAUUUCCGAGGGCCGUGGAAAUUGUACUACAAAAGGUGUAUUGGAUGAAGAGGUGAUCAAAAGACAUGCAACCAAAAAAUAUAGGAAAAAAGUAUAUAUUUAAAGUGAUGAAAGGGAAGAACCUACAACCAAGAUUACACUA